ACCGUUGAAGGGCCUUAUAUAUAUGCGGCCACUUACAUCCAAAACUUCAUUUUUGCUGCAAAUCUGCUCCUAGCACUGAGGCUUUGUCGAGUUGUCCCCCAGUCCCAAGUAGUUGUCUUCGUGCUCUCCCUUUGAAAGCUCCUUUCGAAGUUUUCCUUUCUGUGCCUGUUUCUUUGCCUCCUUUCUUCUUUGCCAUUUUUCCCUUUAUUCUUCUUUCUGGGGCUAGCGUUAUGGCUAGGACCUCUCCUCGAGGA
rnacentral:lncRNA from 1 species